UACGUAGGGUGCAAGCGUUAAUCGGAAUUACUGGGCGUAAAGCGUGCGCAGGCGGUUAUGUAAGACAGAUGUGAAAUCCCAGGGCUCAACCUUGGAACUGCAUUUGUGACUGCAUAGCUAGAGUACGGUAGAGGGGGAUGGAAUUCCGCGUGUAGCAGUGAAAUGCGUAGAUAUGCGGAGGAACACCGAUGGCGAAGGCAAUCCCCCGGACCUGUACUGACGCUCAUGCACGAAAGCGUGGGGAGCAAACAGG
rnacentral:rRNA from 1 species